GACGAACGCUGGCGGCGUGCUUAACACAUGCAAGUCGAACGGUAAGGCCCUUCGGGGUACACGAGUGGCGAACGGGUGAGUAACACGUGGGUGAUCUGCCCUGCACUUCGGGAUAAGCCUGGGAAACUGGGUCUAAUACCGGAUAGGACCCUGGGAUGCAUGUCCUGGGGUGGAAAGCUUUUGCGGUGUGGGAUGGGCCCGCGGCCUAUCAGCUUGUUGGUGGGGUGAUGGCCUACCAAGGCGACGACGGGUAGCCGGCCUGGGAGGGGGACCGGCCACACUGGGACUGAGAUACGGCCCAGACUCCUGCGGGAAGCAGCAGUGGGGAAUAUUGCACAAUGGGCGCAAGCCUGAUGCAGCGACGCCGCGUGAGGGAUGACGGCCUUCGGGUUGUAAACCUCUUUCAGCACCGACGAAGCGCAAGUGACGGUAGGUGCAGAAGAAGGACCGGCCAACUACGUGCCAGCAGCCGCCGCCG
rnacentral:rRNA from 1 species